rnacentral:rRNA from 1 species
AACGCGAAGAACCUUACCAGGUCUUGACAUCCUCUGAAACUCUAGAGAUAGAGCUUCUCCUUCGGGAGCAGAGUGACAGGUGGUGCAUGGUUGUCGUCAGCUCGUGUCGUGAGAGUUGGGUUAAGUCCCGCAACGAGCGCAACCCUUGAUCUUAGUUGCCAUCAUUAAGUUGGGCACUCUAAGGUGACUGCCGGUGACAAACCGGAGGAAGGUGGGGAUGACGUCAAAUCAUCAUGCCCCUUAUGACCUGGGCUACACACGUGCUAAAAUGGACGGUACAAAGAGCUGCAAGACCGCGAGGUGGAGCUAAUCUCAUAAAACCGUUCUCAGUUCGGAUUGUAGGCUGCAACUCGCCUACAUGAAGCUGGAAUCGCUAGUAACGCGGAUCAGCAUGCCGCGGUGAAUACGUACCCGGGCCUUGUACACACCG